UUUUUCUGGUAGAGAUUGCGGUUUCGAUUUCAACCACGAUUUAUUUUCUUUGAAUCAAGUUUCAGUAUAAAUUAAUAUAACCAAUGAAUUCCAUUAAGGAUGAGGAAUAAUGAAAACUGCUGGCAACAGAUUUCAAAUGCAAGACUGUUUAUUCAAGUACCUAAGAAACAACAACCAAAAAAGUCAAAUAAAAAGGGAGCCCUCUUUCUUAAGUAAACUUGCUUCAAUGGCUCAUCAGCAUCAAAAUAAUUGCACUUUUGUAAAAUAAAAAAAAAUAAAAAAAAUAAAUAAAUAAAAAAA